rnacentral:piRNA from 1 species
GGGGCUGGCAUUGCUCUCAAUGACA